rfam:Thermosynechococcus elongatus BP-1 DNA, complete genome.
GCGGGCAUGGUUUAAUGGUAAAACCCUAGCCUUCCAAGCUAGAGACGCGGGUUCGAUUCCCGCUGCCCGCU